rnacentral:rRNA from 1 species
UACGAAGGGUGCAAGCGUUACUCGGAAUUACUGGGCGUAAAGCGUGCGUAGGUGGUUUGUUAAGUCCGAUGUGAAAGCCCCGGGCUCAACCUGGGAAUUGCAUUCGAGACUGCGUAGCUAGGGUGCGGAAGAGGGAAGCGGAAUUUCCGGUGUAGCGGUGAAAUGCGUAGAUAUCGGAAGGAACAUCAGUGGCGAAAGCGGCUUCCUGGUCCAGCACCGACGUUCAGGCACGAAAGCGUGGGGAGCAAACAGG